GGUGGCGGUAUGUUUUAAAGCUUCGAAACGGUAAGGCUGAAACAGUGCGGUAAGAGCGCACUAGGGACCAGGUGACUGGCUCUCUUGGUAAACCCCACCCGCAGCAAGACCUAAUAGGGGAAGGAUGAGGUUGCUCGCUGACUUCCCGGGUUGGUCGCUGGAGGCGUCAGGCAACUGACGUCCUAGAUAGAUGAUCGUCCUCGACAGAACUCGGCUUAUCGCUGACUCCGCCU
rnacentral:RNase_P_RNA from 1 species